CCCAGGUGUUUUAGAAUAUGGAAGUUACAUAGUGCUGUUAAUGGCUGAAGCACAAUGAUAGCAGGUUAAAGGCAUUUAAGUCACAAGGGGAAGUACUAACUGGAUGGCACAGACAGGGAGCAUGGACGACACCUUUUCAGCAUUUCCCAUUCAUGGUACAAGGGAGGGGAAAGUACUGAAAGCAUCAUUUAAAAAAAAUCAAGGCAUACAUAUUUUGCAGCCCACUCUUACUCCUCAGAAGUUUGGUUUUAUGCAUGGACAGAUGAACCAAUGAUGCCCAUUGAAAAGAAGGGCAGUGAACUUACCAUAAUUCAGCUGAAUCUGCUGUAACUGCCUGUCUGCUCUUACUUGAGGGUUAGAAAUGGACACUACCAAUAUCUGCAGUACAGGAAGGAAUGAGUGAACAGCGUCUAGAAUGAACAGAUGGUUCGUAUUACACAAAGUGGCCUGGAGCUCUCUGCAGUGCUGGAGCAUUGAGGGAAGUAAGAUAGGCAGCAAAUGGACAGAUGUAACAUAUGAAGCACUUUAAAGUGCUAUAAAACUGAGUGGGCAAAUGACACACAGUGAUAUAUCGCUACAAAUCAACGAUGGAUAAAAGAGGGAUAAUUUGCACAUACUUCAUGGUAACACCUUAGUUGGGGGUAGCUGUAUGUUUGUACACUACUGAAGCUGUACAAAAUAAAAGUGUUUUGAAAAU